rnacentral:rRNA from 1 species
UACGUAGGGUGCGAGCGUUAAUCGGAAUUACUGGGCGUAAAGCGUGCGCAGGCGGUUCGCUAAGACCGAUGUGAAAUCCCCGGGCUUAACCUGGGAACUGCAUUGGUGACUGGCGGGCUAGAGUAUGGCAGAGGGGGGUAGAAUUCCACGGUGUAGCAGUGAAAUGCGUAGAGAUGUGGAGGAAUACCGAUGGCGAAGGCAGCCCCCUGGGCCAAUACUGACGCUCAUGCACGAAAGCGUGGGGAGCAAACAGG